rnacentral:lncRNA from 1 species
GGCUUAGCCAUUAUGUGUUAGAACCUAUAGAUGCAGAGAAUAGUUUGGCAUGCCCUUUCUGCAAGGGUUUGUCACAUUUUAUAGGGUAUACAUCUGAAGUUAUUCAUUUAUUUUACUUUUUGGUAAUUUUUAAAAUUAUUUUUCAAUAAACCCUUUUGGUCGCAAUUACUCUCUCCCCAAAAGCACCUUUUAAGGAAAAAUGGAUUACUGGAUUUGUCAAGAAAGUUGAUAUUGAACGUGUAACCUGUCAAUAUUUACCAUUCACAUAAAAGUCAGAACAGUAUCACUGACCAGAUUUCUAAAAGAAAGAAAUCUAUUGAAGAAGGCUUCACAAUUUUUAAAAUUUUAAACAUUUCAAAGAUGAGCAUGUAAGAAACACAAUGCAGCAUUUUUGCAUAUUGUUUUCAAAGAAUGACUUUUCAUUUAGGUGAGACAAGUAACUCUCAAGAUAAUUUCAUUCUUUCUGGAGUUCAGGUUUUCUCGCACACAUGUAAAAAUGUAGGUAUAGCUUUUAAUAUCUUGGCUCAGUUAGCAAAAGAGCUUUACAAACAGUUAAGUGAUCCUGCCAAUUUUAUAUCACAGCCAUCUCAUCAGAUACUUCAAAUAGAAAAUCAGUUAAUUCGAAUUUUUUUUUGUUUUUUUCCAUGUGAUUCAUGGGAUAAGAGGAAUGCUUUUGGAAGUUCAUUUUGUCAAAGGUAACACACCUGAUUGUGCGUGUGAUUGUAAAUCCAUUCAAAAAGCUCAAUGUUUAUGAUCAAAUUAUUUAUUUUUGUAGUGAUGAUAUAUGAAAACUUUUAUGGAGAACAAUGUUUUAAUAAAAACAACAUCCUCACUAAAUUAAGAAAAGUGUAGCAGAAAUAUACCUGGAUUGAUGGUAAGAUACAUGUGUAUAUAAUUCAUAAUUUAAAAAUUAAUAAAAUAUAUAAAAAUAUUUUAAGAAAAUAGUAAAUAAAAGAUUUUAUUAAAAAUGGGAAGAUGUAGGUCAAAAGACAUGAAGUUGCAGUUAUGAAGUACAAGUCUAGAAAUUACAGCACAAGGACUGUGGUCAAUAAUAUUAUAUCAUAUACUAGAAAUUGCUAAGAGUAGAUUUUAGGUAUUCUUAACACACACACACACACACACACACACACACACAGAGAGAGAGAGAGAGAGAGAGAGAGAGAUAACUGUGUGAGAUGAUGGCUAUAUUAAUUUGCCUGGCUGUAGUAAUCACUUCACUAUACAUUUGUAUAUUAAAACAUCUUAUUGCAUACCGCAAGUACAUAUGAUUUUAAAAGAAAAUAAAUUAAUUAAAAUAUUUAAAUAAAAUAUACAAGUAUAUAAUAUGAAAUGUAUUUUGUAAAAUCAUUGAGUAUAGAAUGUACAUAUAAUUGAUAAUUGUAUCCAAACGAGUUGUGAUAUUGUACUCUUAGAAUUAGAAGCUGCCAUUGUAAAAAUGUACAGAUAUUUAUAUCUUUACACAGAAUGAUUGAACUACAGAUUUUUUUCAAUACUGAAGUUAAAUACAAAAACACACCUCACUGUGGGAAGAACACACUUGCUCUCUUUGCCCCCGUCAUUGAUCAGAUUUUAGAAAUAUGUCAGCCUUUGAAAAACUUCUUUGUAUCUCACUGUAACUAUGCUACACUGGUAAUGAGUGUAUGAAUCCUUUAAAUCUUGUCUGCAUUUUUGCCCCAAAUCAAGUGGAAAUCUUAAAAGUAUUCAAUUACUGGAGUAUCAGGAAAUUCAGCAUAGGCAGGUUUUAGAGACUUGCCAUUAUUAAAACCACAGCCUGCCAGCUAGAAGAUAUUGCCGUAUUUCCUCACAAAAGCAGAGUAGGGAGUGACAAAUUAUAGGAUGAGGGCCCAAUGGUAGGUACACAAAAUUUAAUUUCAAAAUUGUAUAAUUUUUCCUUAGAACAACUACGUUAUGGAAAUAAUUUUUUCAUGAGACUUCUGUAUUUUACUGGAUAAAUUUUUAUUCUAUAUCACAAUGGAAUGAAGUUGAAAAGGCUUAUAAUAUUGCAUCAUCCACAUUUGGUCAGAUAUUCAAAAGAAUCAUAAAGAGAGACAAUUAAUAUGAGAGCUUGAUCUUGCUAAAGUUUUCAUUAAAGACCUAUACACUGAGUGGAAGCAGAAAGAUAGUUCCUUUAAAAAU